rnacentral:rRNA from 1 species
UAACGAGCGCAACCUUUAUCCUUAGUUACCAGCACGUUAUGGUGGGCACUAUAAGGAGACUGCCGGUGACAAACCGGAGGAAGGUGGGGAUGACGUCAAGUCAUCAUGGCCCUUACGGCCAGGGCUACACACGUGCUACAAUGGUCGGUACAGAGGGUUGCCAAGCCGCGAGGUGGAGCUAAUCCCAUAAAACCGAUCGUAGUCCGGAUCGCAGUCUGCAACUCGACUGCGUGAAGUCGGAAUCGCUAGUAAUCGUGAAUCAGAAUGUCACGGUGAAUACGUUCCCGGGCCUUGUACACACCGCCCGUCACACCAUGGGAGUGGGUUGCUCCAGAAGUAGCUAGUCUAACCGCAAGGGGGACGGUUACCACGGAGUGAUUCAUGACUGGGGUGAAGUCGUAACAAGGUAGCCGUAAU